ensembl:antisense Gm43570 predicted gene 43570
ACGGACACAUCGGGAGCACGGGCGACUGGGCUCCCCGGGCCACCCCUAGACGUCGCGCGCCCUGAUCCCCACCCCCAACAGUUUACCUGUUGGUCCCUAGCUAGCGGCUAGGCAGGGGCGGGCAGCCGGGACGCCCUGGCGGCCGCAGCCUCCAUCGCUCCGUUAGGGUUGGGGAAUUGGAUUUGACGUUGCGAGGUGUCUGGCUCGCCAGACUGCGGACGCCGCGAAGUUUGCGGCUGCCUGGGGGCGUCGCUCGCUGUCGCCAGCGUUCUCGCCCCCACGGCCCGGGAGCGCGAGCUCCCGAGUUGGCGGACGGCGGCGCGGCGGCCGCACUGAGCAUGCCCAGCUUGGCGGCCGGACCGCGGAGGAGUUGGCUGCGAGCGCCUCGAGCGCUCCCAUCUGCCUCUCCGGGUUUUCGCAGCCGCAGAGCGCGCAUUCCACGGGCCCUGCGCCCCAGCUGGCUGCAGGGUUAACCCGGCUAUGGAACCAGCCCCAGGAGGGACCCCGGGCCUCGAGCUGCGCCCUCCGCCUCGACCCCUCCUGGGGUCGCCAUCCCGGCAGCCUAGGCGAAACCUCACCUGCUCGCAUCACAGGGAUGGGAACCGCGGGGAGGGGGCGAUCCUUUCGGGGGAUCUGGUCAAUCCACCUGCCGGCGCCCCUCGCUUGCUCCAGGUAGACACACAGAUGCGGGGCCAAGAGCCGUGAGCAUUGAGACCUAGCCUCGGAGGCGGGCCCAGCGUGUCCUAAGGGACCCUGCAGGAGGCGCGCCCAGGAGAACGCGCCAGCACUUGGCCAAGAAUGAUGGCUGCCAUUUAUCGAGUCCUCCUUUGGUUGUAUGAGCUUGAUGGUCUGAAUUUGCUUCUAGCAACAAACCCUUCCACGGUUUUACUUCACCUUCUUUAUAAAUGAGGAAAUUGUGUCAGCUCGGAGAGGCUAGAUGACUUGUUCAAAGCUGCAAAAGCUAAUGGGAAUUUGAACCUACCACGGCUGCAGCUCAGGUUUCUGACCUCACCCCUCUGCUUUGAUUGGGAAGGGCUGUGUGCUUGAUCUGCCCUUGGCCUGAUUGUAUCACAUUCUCCAUAACUUGAGGAAUGUCUUGGACGCCUAGUUCCCAGCUCUGGAGAGCAUGUACACAGAAUAACCUGCAGCCUUUCUAUAGUACCUGGUUCAUGGUGAUGAUAUGUGAAUGUCUACUCGCUUUGCUGCCUUUAAAGCACCCAAGGGAAGGAAGAAAGAAGUGGAUAAGGCGAUGGCAUUGUAAAAGACUAGUUCUUCAUUGUUUACCCUCUGAACAAAAGUACCUCCAACCUAGCCUAACACUUAAAUGGAGCUGUAUGAGGCUAAAUCCAUUACUCAGUCUGAGCUAGGCCUCCUACAGUAUACUUGCCUUUACCAAGAGGUGCUUCCUUCCACUGCCCAGCUUGCCAUGAGCAUUUCUCUUCUAAUACCCUAUAUAUAAUAACUUCAUGGUGAGGUUUGCCCUGUGUUAUAGCAGCUAUCAAAUCCAGUUCCUUUGCUUCAAAGAAAAUACAGUUUUUAUUCAUAUCUAACUUUAUUAGGAGAUUUAUCAAGCAUACCAAAAAGUGAAGAAAGUAUAUAAUAAAUCCCCGAGUAUUUAUCAUCUUUAAUACUGUUUAACCAUUUUUAUUCCAGGUAUUCCCCCAAUUCUCAAUGGACUAAUGUACCCGCUAAUUCAGUAAGGACAGUUUUCAUUAUUGAACACAGCAUGGCACUUGGCACAUCUCAAAAAAGUUUUGAAUUGUGGGAUGGAUAGUAGGUGGUUGGCUGGGUAAAUGGACUUAGGCGGUCAUCACAAGUAAUUCUUUACAGGUACUAUAUUAUGCCACUCAAUCUGAUGCCCAUAGUUUGGUGAGAGACAUGUUCAAAGUUUUCUCAGAGAUAACUGUCUUACUCUGUUCGAUUUUUGACCACGGCCACUUUUAUAAAAGAAAACCUUUAUUUGACCUACCUUACAUUCAGAGAUUUAACCCAUUAUUGUCAUGGCAGGAAGCAUGGCAGCAAACAGCAGACAUGGGGCUGGAAAUGUAGCUUGGACGUCUAUAUCCCAACUGGGAGGCAGCAGGAAAAGACAGACACUGGGUCUGGCUUGAGAAGUUGAAAUCCCAAAACCUACCGCCCUCAGGAACACACUUCCUCCAACAAAGCCAUACCUGCUCCAGCAAGGCCAUGCCUACUCCAACAAGGCCACGCCCACUCCAACCAGCCCUUGCUUCCUUAUCUCUCUCCAGUAGGGUCAUUCCCUAAUGACUAAGAGUUCAAAAAUUUGAGCCCAGGGGGCAGGGGAGGGGGAGGGCAUUCCUAUUCAAACCACCACAAUAAACAAGGCGAAAUAACCCAGCGAAACAUUUUGCACAGGUCUCCUUUGCCUGUGUAACCUCUAUGCAGACAUUUCGUAGCCAAUCUUCUCUCCUUGCCAAUCGUGGAUAUGCUGUGCAAAUCACAGGCCACCUUAAAAAGUUCUCCAAGUUCUUCCAAGUUACAAAGAACGAAUAGAAAAGGUGUUCAAUGGGGUCCUCUCCAAGUUCUUUGUGUGAAGAUAAGAAUAACAUUUUUCAGACCAGUUCUCACCAGUGCGGGGGGGGGGGGGGGGNNNNNNNNNNNNNNNNNNNNGGGGGGGGGAUUACAGAGUAGAUCCAUUGUGAGCUCUUCCUACCAUCCCUGCUCUCCGGCUGCUGGUUCAGGGCCAUUGAAGGAACAAGCAGUAAAGCCAGAGUCGAGCCUAAUCCCUCCCAAACCUGUGCCUAUUAUCAUCGUCAAUGCUCUGCGUGCAUUGACUAUCAUUAUUGUAGUACAUGUGAAAGAGCAUCAGAAGAAAACGUAUCAAAGAAGAAACUUCUAACCAUGUACUGUGCCAUAGCAGUAUGCUCUCCCUCGAUUGUAAAGGAACAAUUCUCAGCACCAUGCCUGUAGGUGCAGGAAUUAAAGUUGCUAGGUUUUCUCGUGGGAUUGAUGUUUGUCCAGGUGUAUGUAUACAAUACGGUGUUUUGUUACCAGCUUGUCUGCAGGCAAUCUUGCUUACUUUGAAUUUUUCUUAUAUCCCAAUUACAUUUAAAUGCAUACAUCUGGAUCAAAAAAGAAAUUUUCAUGCUUUUCAUUUAGUCAAAAAAUAAAAGGAAAGAAUGAAAGGAAGAAGAAAGGAAAAAAAAAAAACCUGGAGUAGCUGGAGAGAUGAUUAAGAGCAUAUACUGUGCUUCCAGAGCACCAGCACACAAACUCUAGCUCCAGGGAGAUGCAACAGCUCUGGCUCCUGCACUAUCAUAUAUAUAUAAUCAACACAGAAGAUCUAGAGCUGUAAAGCAGUUAUCCAGCACGCUGAAAGCCUUUGUUUGCUUUGGAGUUCAGUUGAUUCAUAUAAUGGGGAAACAAGCCAAAUAAACUAAAAAGAAAAAGAAAAAAGAAAAAAGAAAUUAUGUAUUGGCUUUGGAAACACAUGCACUAAAAUCAGAAUGCCAUAGAGAAGGUUGUUAAAUUUUAACAAAGGUUAUUAAUUUUGAAAUGUUUCGUUCAAAUUAAGUUUUAAUAAUUUUUGUGCUUACAGAAAUGAAAGAAUACCAUCAUAUGACUCAAGCAACAAUGACGAGUAGAAUUCUACUGCUAGCUCAGUACAUGGUUUCCAUUUUCCUAGUAGCCAUAUUUUUAAAAGAUGAAAUUAAUUUUGUCACUAUAGUAAUUUGGCCCAAUAUAGUUAAAAUAUU